GGGGAUUUAGCUCAGUGGUAGAGCGCUUGCCUAGCAAGCACAAGGCCCUGGGUUCAGUCCCCAGCCCCA
rnacentral:tRNA from 1 species